GAUGAACGCUGGCGGCGUGCCUAAUACAUGCAAGUCGAGCGAACAGAUGAGGAGCUUGCUCCUCUGACGUUAGCGGCGGACGGGUGAGUAACACGUGGAUAACCUACCUAUAAGACUGGGAUAACUUCGGGAAACCGGAGCUAAUACCGGAUAAUAUAUUGAACCGCAUGGUUCAAUAGUGAAAGACGGUUUUGCUGUCACUUAUAGAUGGAUCCGCGCCGCAUUAGCUAGUUGGUAAGGUAACGGCUUACCAAGGCAAUGAUGCGUAGCCGACCUGAGAGGGUGAUCGGCCACACUGGAACUGAGACACGGUCCAGACUCCUACGGGAGGCAGCAGUAGGGAAUCUUCCGCAAUGGGCGAAAGCCUGACGGAGCAACGCCGCGUGAGUGAUGAAGGUCUUCGGAUCGUAAAACUCUGUCAUUAGGGAAGAACAAAUGUGUAAGUAACUAUGCACGUCUUGACGGUACCUAAUCAGAAAGCCACGGCUAACUACGUG
rnacentral:rRNA from 1 species